UAUGGUCAUAUCACAUUGAAACACCAGUUCUCAUCCAAUCAUCGAAGUUAAGCAACAUCAAGCUGGGUCAGUACUUAGAUGGGUGACUGCUUGGGAAUAAUAGGU